UAGACCAAAGCUGCGGAAUCAAUCACAGCACAACUUCUUCUGCACACCAUUCCCCUUUCAGCUUCAUCUCCCAUCUCCGUCUUCCUUUAUAUCCCUGAACAAGUACCUUUAUUCUUCUAUCAUCCACAAGAAGCAACCAAGAAAACCACACCAGCAAUGGGCUGCUUCGGGUGCGGCUCCUCCAAAGCUUCCGUGAGAACAUCUUCACCGUCCGAACCCGCCAUGGCGUCGAACCAAGAACACCCCUACGCGUACCCGCCGCCGCAGCAGGCCCGAGUCCUGAGGCAGGAAAUCCUCCUCACCAUUCCGUCAUGCGCGGUCCACCUGAUGGAAGAAGGGGAGGCCCUGGAGCUCCUCCCGAGCGGCGAGUUCACGCUCCUCCGGAUCUCCGACGACAACGUCCCGCUUGCCACCAUAGUGAAGGUCGGGGACGACCUCCAGUGGCCCCUCACCAAGGACGAGCCCGUGGUGAAGCUGGACGCCCUGCACUACCUGUUCACCCUGCCCGUCAAGGACGGCGACCCCCUGAGCUACGGCGUGAGCUUCCCGGAGACGUACGGCGGCGGCCUGGCGUCGCUCGACGCGUUCCUGCAGGAGCAUUCUUGCUUCUCCGCCUCCGCGGCUUCCUCUCGGAACAAGAACAUCGACUGGAAGGAGUUCGCGCCUAAGGUCCAGGAUUACAACAGUGUGUUGGCCAGGGCGAUUGCGGGAGGCACCGGUCAGAUUGUUAAAGGGAUAUUCAAAUGCAGCAACGCUUACACUAACCAGGUUCAUAAGGGAGGCGAGAUGAUCAUCACCCGUGCUGCGGAGAAUAGUAACAUCACCUAUCCGGAGUACACUAGCAAUGGAAGUUCAACUACCAAAAAGAAAAGCGCAAUCAACAGAAACUUGAAACGCGUGAGAAAUGUGUCCAAGAUGACAGAGAAGAUGAGCAAAACGAUGCUCAAUGGGGUUCAAUUUGCCACUGGCUCAGUGAUGGCGCCGGUGGUUAAGUCCAAAGCUGGGAAGGCAUUCCUUCAAUGGUUCCUGGAGAGGUCCUUUGGCUUCACUCGAUGCCGUCAGUGAACAAAGUUCUAGAUGCAGCUGAAGCUGCUGAGAAGCAAGCUCUCUCCGCAACCUCCAAAGCGGCGACAAGAAUGGUCAGCCAGAGAUUCGGAGAGAGCGCGGGAGAGGCGACAGAAGAUGCGCUGGCGACUGCAGGCCACUGCGCUAACACCGCUUGGAAUGUCUUUAAGAUCAGAAAGACCAUCAACCCGGCAUCAUCCGUCACGUCUGGAGUGCUGAGAAAUGCGGCGCAGGCCAAGAGUGCCAAGUCUUCCUAGCUUCGCGAAGUGUAAAUAGUCACUGAACAGGCUGACUGCUUACAGGAUUUGUCGAAGAAGCUGUGUUAAUGAACAGGUCAUGACAUUGUAUUCCCUAAUCGGUGCUAACAAUUCAUGCGCCGAAGAUUGUUGAGCCCCAUGAGCCUACCACGAUCCAGUCCAAGAAGGGCUAUAAUUGGAUUGUAUUUAUUUUCUGAUGCUAGGUUGUGUUUGGCCAACGA